AGUUUGAUUCUGGCUCAGAUUGAACGCUGGCGGGAUGCUUUACACAUGCAAGUCGAACGGCAGCACGGACUUCGGUCUGGUGGCGAGUGGCGAACAGGUGAGUAAUGUAUCGGAACGUGCUAGUAGCGGGGGAUAACUACGCGAAAGCGUAGCUAAUACAUAUACGCCCUUCGGGAAAGCGGGGGACCUUCGGGCCUCGCACUAUUAGAGCAGCCGAUAUCGGAUUAGCUAGUUGGUGGGGUAACGGCUCACCAAGGCGACGAUCCGUAGCUGGUUUGAAGGACGACCAGCCACACUGGGACUGAGACACGGCCCAGACUCCUACGGGAGGCAGCAGUGGGGAAUUUUGGUAGACAAUGGAAACCUGAUCCAGCCAUCACGCGUGUGCGAUGAAGGCCUUCGGGUUGUAAAGCACUUUGGCGGAAAGAAACGGCACGGGAUAAUACCCCGUGCAACUGACGGUACCUGCAGAAUAAGCACCGGCUAACUACGUGCCAGCAGCCGCGGUAAUACGUAAGUGCAAGCGUUAAUCAGAAUACUGGGCGUAAAGCGUGCGCAGGCGGUUCGGAAAGAAAGAUGUGAAAUCCAGAGCUUAACUUUGUUCAUUUUUAACUACCAGCGUAUGAUGCUGUCAGAGGAGGUGAAAUUCCCGCGUGUAGCAGUGAAAUGCGUAGAUAUGCGGAAGACACCGAUGUGAAGGCAACCUCCUGGGAUAACACUGACGCUCAUGCACGAAAGCGUGGGAGCAAACAGGAUUAGAUACCCUGGUAGUCCACACGCCCUAAACGAUGUCAACCAGCUGUUGGGGCCUUCAGCGAACCUUAGUAGCGCAGCUAACGCGUGAAGUUGACCGCCUGAUUACGGUCGCAAGAUUAAAACUCAAAGGAAUUGACGGGGACCGCUGACGAUGGAUGAUGUGGAUUAAUUCGAUGCAACGCGAAAAACCUUACCUACCCUUGACAUGUCUGGAAUCCCGAAGAAGUUUCGCGGGAGUGCUCGCAAAGAGAACCGGACACAGGUGCUGCAUGGCUUCUUCGUCAGCUCGAUGUGUGAGAUGUUGGGUUAAGUCCCGCCAACGAGCGCAACCCUUGGCAUUAGUUGCUACGGGCACUCCUAAUGAGACUGCUGCCGGUGACAAACCGGAGGACGAGGACAGCGUCAAGUCCUCGCCGUGACCCCUGCGGGUGGGAGCUCCGCGUGUCUCGCCUACAAUGGUCGGGACAGGGGGUCGCCAACCCGCGAGGAAUGAUCCCAGAAACCCGAUCGUAGUCGGAUGUGGUCUGCAACUCGACUGCGGUCGGAAUCGCUAGUAAUCGCGGAUCAGCAUGUCGCGGUGAAUACGUUCCCGGGUCUUGUACACACCGCCCGUCACACCAUGGGAGUGGGUUUUACCAGAAGUAGUUAGCCUAACCGUAGGGAGAGGCGAUUACCACGGUAGGAUUCAUGACUGAAGAUGUGUGAUAA
rnacentral:rRNA from 1 species